UACGAAGGGGGCUAGCGUUGCUCGGAAUCACUGGGCGUAAAGCGCACGUAGGCGGUCGCUUAAGUCGGGGGUGAAAUCCUGGAGCUCAACUCCAGAACUGCCUUCGAUACUGAGAGUCUCGAGUCCGGGAGAGGUGAGUGGAACUGCGAGUGUAGAGGUGAAAUUCGUAGAUAUUCGCAAGAACACCAGUGGCGAAGGCGGCUCUCUGGCCCGGUACUGACGCUGAGGUGCGAAAGCUUGGGGAGCAAACAGG
rnacentral:rRNA from 1 species